CUACGUGCCAGCAGCCGCGGUAAUACGUAGGUGGCAAGCGUUGUCCGGAUUUAUUGGGCGUAAAGGGAACGCAGGCGGUCUUUUAAGUCUGAUGUGAAAGCCUUCGGCUUAACCGGAGUAGUGCAUUGGAAACUGGAAGACUUGAGUGCAGAAGAGGAGAGUGGAACUCCAUGUGUAGCGGUGAAAUGCGUAGAUAUAUGGAAGAACACCAGUGGCGAAAGCGGCUCUCUGGUCUGUAACUGACGCUGAGGUUCGAAAGCGUGGGUAGCAAACAGGAUUAGAUACCCUGGUAGUCCACGUCGUAAACGAUGAAUGCUAGGUGUUGGAGGGUUUCCGCCCUUCAGUGCCGCAGCUAACGCAAUAAGCAUUCCGCCUGGGGAGUACGACCGCAAGGUUGAAACUCAAAGGAAUUGACGGGGGCCCGCACAAGCGGCGGAGCAUGCGGAUUAAUUCGAUGCAACGCGAAGAACCUUACCAAGGCUUGACAU
rnacentral:rRNA from 1 species